UACAGAGGUCCCAAGCGCUGUUCGGAUUCACUGGGCGUAAAGGGUGCGUAGGUGGCGGGGUAAGUCGGAUGUGAAAGCUCGGAGCUCAACUCCGAAAUGGCAUUGGAAACUACCUUGCUCGAGGGUUGGAGGGGGGACUGGAAUGCUUGGUGUAGCAGUGAAAUGCGUAGAUAUCAAGCGGAACACCAGUGGCGAAGGCGAGUCCCUGGACAACUCCUGACACUGAGGCACGAAAGCUAGGGGAGCAAACAGG
rnacentral:rRNA from 1 species